rnacentral:rRNA from 1 species
AUACGGAGGGUGCAAGCGUUAUCCGGAUUCAUUGGGUUUAAAGGGCGCGCAGGCGGAUUAUUAAGUCGGUGGUGAAAUCCUCCCGCUUAACGGGAGAACUGCCAUUGAUACUGGUAAUCUGGAAUACGAUUGAAGUGGGCGGAAUGUAGCAUGUAGCGGUGAAAUGCAUAGAUAUGCUACAGAACACCGAUCGCGAAGGCAGCUCACUAAGCCGAUAUUGACGCUCAGGCACGAAGGCGUGGGUAGCGAACAGGAUUAGAUACCCCUGUAGUCC